rnacentral:sRNA from 1 species
CAAUUACUGUCUUUUGAUUCGGUAAAUAUGGGGUUUUAUUGACUUUUGAAAAGUCAAUAAAACCGCAUUUUUACCUCAUCAAAAGACAGUAAUUGUAUAAUAUU